rnacentral:misc_RNA from 1 species
GGGCGGAAACAUUGGAACGGACGCCGUCGCCAAGUCCCCUCCAGACGGCUACACGAUCGGCUUCGGCACGAAUGGACCGCUCGCAGGCAAUGUCACGCUCUUCAAGUCGCUGCCUUAUGAUCCGACCACGGCAUUCGCCCCAAUCACCCGCAUCGCGUUCGUAUCGAACUUAAUCGCAGUGCAUCCUGCUCUGGGUGUGAAAACGUUGAGCGAACUGAUUGAGUUGAUUCGAAGAGAGCCCAACAAGCACANACGGAGGCUCAGGCACUACACAGCAUCUCGGCGGAGAGCUGUUCAAAUCGAUGGCGCAGCU